rnacentral:lncRNA from 1 species
AUGAGACCAACAAAGAGAGAGUUUUGUCAUUCUGUGAGGUUGGUGAAGAAGCCGGAAACUCCCUCCCUCCUGGAGAAGCUGGAAGAAGUCAAGCAGUUCCCAUCCCGUCCGCCGGCAGCCAGGGCUCCGACCUGCAUGGUGGGCGCAGUCGUUCAGAUGCCUCGGUCUGGAACUCUAAAUCUAGAGCAAGUGACACAAAGACAGGGGGAUGGCCGAGAUGAUCCCAGCCGCAGUCUGAGUGGCAGCAGCAGUGCCAGCCCCCGGUCACAAUCCGACGGUUCCUGGGGCGAGGCCAGGCUGUGUUCUCAGCUGCCCAGUCUACAUCCGUUCCUGCCCAUUUUCCACACCUGCUUCUUUAACCUUCCUGUCGAUUCUGUAAGCCACCCAAUAGCCUUUCAGUAACUUCCUAUUUUCUUUAAGUCAACCAGAGUUGGUGCCCCUUUAUUUGUAACCAAGAACUCCGACCAGAACUAAUCACGGCAAAUUACUGAGCAGCUAUGAGCCGGGAAUUAUCCUAAGCCUUUACGUGGGGUAUCUCGCUUAAACUUCCUACAACCCUAGGAGAAUGGAACAUGUUAUUCCCAUUUGACAAAUGAGAACACUGAGGCUGGCUAAGGUUAACUAACGUAUUCAAGGUCAACACUUAGGACAGAGGCGAGUGUCAAGAUCAGAUCAGAGAGACUCUUCCUCCUACUCAGCUCCCAAGCAUCUGUGGAUCAGUUUACUAGUUACUCAAAGUAUCUAUAGCUUGUCCCAGGUAAUCCUCACAAGUCCUUCGGGUUGGAAUUUUUAAUUCCAAUUUUACAAAUGAGGAAACCGAGACUCAGAAGCAUUAAAAGUGACUUGCUCAAAUAUUUAUCGUAAGCUUUGAAACUGCACAUCCUCUUUGAUCCAACAAUUCCAGGUCCGAGCACUUAUCCCAAAGAAAUAAUCAGAGGCGUGACCAGAGAUCAUUCAUUGGGUUGUCGUUUAUUACAGGGAAAAAUUAAACACCGUCCUUAAGGUCCAACAGUCAGGCAACAGCCAAACAAAUUAGGGCAUCCCAUAUGAUGGAACCUUACGUGGUCAUUAAAAAUCAGGCUGUAGAAGCAAAUGAGGAGUUGUCUAGGCCUGAGGGUAACAUCAGGGUUGACUUCAAAAGGGUGUUCAGGAACUAUUGAGAGUGAUGGAAAUGUUUCAAAUCUCGACUAUGGUAAUGGUUACACAAGUGUACGCAGUUGUCAAAACUCACCAAACUACACACUUAAAAUGGGGGCAUUUAUUGUACAUGAACUAUACCUCAACAAUUAAAAAAAAUCCUGUAGAAACCAUUUUAUCAAAGAUAAUAUUCACAAAAUAUUAAGUGAAAGAUUACAAUAAAUAAUUAUAGUAUAUUUAUUUCCAUGUGUGCUCCAUGUGUAGAGAAAAAAAGGAAAUCUACCAAAAGAGCAAUAGUGGUUAUCACCGAUGGGUAGAAAUUAUGGAUAAUUUAGGCCUUCUUUACAUCUUUCUGUAUUCUUUAACAAUCAGAAGAAACAAAAACUAAAAAAAAAAAAAAAUUGAGUACAUCACAGAAGCAUUAAGUAGAGGCUAGAAAUGAGGACUUUGCAGGCAAGUUAAUUGUACCUUGUACUGUGCCUCAGAGUUUCUGCUCUGCACCAGGAAUUGCUGUGAUGCAUGCCCAGGAGAAUCGCCCAUAAAACAUGUUCUUGCCUGUGAGGAACUUGAACCCUGCACAGAGGGUGAGGAGGGAGUGAUUGCAUCGGGUUAGGGAAUCAAGAGAGGCCUCAUGGAGGUGGACUCUAGGAUGAGCCAAGAAGGAUGCGUGGGGCUGCAGCAGGCGAGGGAAGGUGAGACAGUUGACAUGCCUGUGGGAACAGAGGGGCUUCGGCCUGGACGGGAAAGUCGUGUGCAGGGUGGUGCUGGGUGAUGAGGGUACAGGGGAAACUGAACGUAGACUGGGAGGAGCCUGUGAUAGGGCCUGAGCGGGUGGGUCCGACUAACUAGAGAUGGCAGGUCAGAAGCACCCACAGGUCAGCAGCGCUUAAUCCCCGUUCCCGACAGAGGACCUCUGAGUUAUAAUGUGAAUCCACAAGAAAAUAAAACACAGUAAUUACUGAGAAAUCCAGUGUAGGGCUAUUUGGGGGGCACAUAUGCUGGAUGUGCCUGUGCUGUGGCUGGUACAGACGUUCAGGAUACCUCGAUGGCCUGUGGUCACUCAGCUACCUCUCCCCACUCCGCCAUGGGGAUCCCAAGGGCAGAAUUGGGAGCCCGUUGGGUUCUUGCCGCUGGUGCCCAUCGCAAUGCAGACGUGUGGCUGGUACUGAGUAGAGGGUCAGGAAAUGACUGUAGAGUGAAUGAGGGGACGUUUACGUCGUGUAGAAAGGACUCUAGGGGAGGAGGUUAGUGUAAUGAUAAGAGCAUAGUCUCUGGGAGCAGACGGCUGGCCUGUAACCCGGGCUUUGCCACUUACUGGCUGUGUAGCCUUGAGAAAGCCAUUUCAUCUCUCUGUGCUUUGCUUUCCUGCUUCUAUAAAAUGAGAUCCGCUUCCUAGGCUGUUGUGGGGAUUAAACGAGUGAGUGGAUGGGAAGCGCUGAGAGCCAUGCCCAGCACGGAGGAGAGAAGUGUCGGAUAGUAUAGAUCUUGCGAGCCAGCCUCCUUUAGAGAUAAGGAAACUGAAGGCCAGAGAAACGGUGGUGAUUUGUCCAAGGUCAUAAAAGGAGUUGAAAGUGGAACUUGGGUCUCUGACUCUGCAAAUCAAGAACUGUCUGGAAUAAAGGGACUUACUGGUUGGCUCCUUGCCAUGUGCCGGGCACCAGUCCUAGACCCUGUCUGGGGAACAUGUUUACAGCCUUUGGAUUCAGAUGAAAAGAUGUAUACAUAGGAAACAACUCCAGACCGUGCAAUGCAAUAAAAUGCAUUCCUAACCAGGCAGGCUGGAGGAAACGGGCCUCUUGGCAGCACCAGGAUUUCAACCUGGGACUUGUAGGGUGAAGAAACAAUCAGCACGGUGGCUUUCCAUUUUUGUGUGUGUGUGAAGUUUGACAAAGAAACGUCAGACACUCCCUCUCCACAGACUCUCCCUCCACAUUACAGUGAAGGGUCAAGCCUUUUGGAAUUAGAGAAUUCUGGGUUGAAAUCCUGGCUCCCUUGGUUAUCGGCUGAGUGACCUUGGGAUAGUCAGUUGCUGCCUCUGAGUUUCAGUGUCUUGAUCUACGACAUGAAGGUAAAAAUACCCUGUUCACUGGGUUAUUGUGGGACAAAAGGAGCUGGUGUAUGAGAGAUACCAGGCGAUCAAAAACAAUCAAUCCCCCACCCCAUCCCCUCUGUGGGUUCUCUUUGCUGACCUACCAGAUUGAGGCCUCAAUACCUCUAUAAUGAGGGUCAAGCUGUGAGCUCCGUGAGCUGCAGAAAGAGAAAAAAUAAAAUUAAAUCAUUGGGGAUCCCUGGGUGGCGCAGCGGUUUGGCGCCUGCCUUUGGCCCAGGGCGCGAUCCUGGAGGCCCGGGAUCGAAUCCCACGUCGGGCUCCCGGUGCAUGGAGCCUGCUUCUCCCUCUGCCUGUGUCUUUGCCUCUCUCUCUCUCUCUCUCUCUCUGUGACUAUCAUGAAUAAAUAAAUAAAAUCUUUAAAAAAAAAAAAAUUAAAUCAUUGGAAGACAUUAUCUUCCCCUAAGACCCGAGACCAGGACUUUUUUCUUUUCUUUUUCUUUUUCUUUUUCUUUUUCUUUUUCUUUUUUUUUUUUUUUUUUUUUGCAGUGGGAGGAGGCUGUUGAGGAUGGAAGCAGCACAAGGCUUUGGAAAAGGGUGUGGUGAGGACUACAGAGGAAAGGCCCAGAAAGGGAGAGGCAGGCACUCAGGACUCGGGGCAUGGCCGGCCCAAGCAGGAUGUCAGCUUUCCUCUGGUGGAAAGGGAGGGAACCGACGUGUAUGCAGCAUGACUAAGCGCCAGUUACUGUGCUAGAUGCUGGGGUACAGCCUUGAACUACGUGUGACUCUUGCCUAAGAGGCUCCAGGCUCAUGUGAACACUGGCACGCACGUGGAGUACUCUAAUCCAAAGAACUCUAGCAAGGGGAAGAGAGCACAGAGGAUGGCAUGACUGACACUGCGAGGAAGUCACGUGCAGGGACGACCAGGAGGGGGAUCCGGGGGGCAGCCGGAGGGGGGACAGGGAUGCAGAGCCUCCCACCGCAGGAGAGAAGACGCAGUGGUGAGGCCGGGAGGGAGGGCGGCUAGGUGACCGGGGGUCGCGUCCUUUAUCCCGGAGUGGUGGGAGCCGGGGAGGGUUUCAAAUGAAACCCUGGGGGACUCUGUCAAUUCUGGAGUUGGAAGGACCGUUCCGGCAGCAGAAUGGGGUGCCCUGGGGGUGGCGUGAGCCUGGAGGCAGGAUGCCAGUGAGGACAGUGUCUGAGGGUCCCAACUGGGAGCGCGAGGGGCCAUCUCCUGCCCAGCUCCCCAGCCUCACGCGGUCCUGUCCUCUUCCGGACCCGCAGCGUGCAUUUUCCUCGCUCAAGGCCCUGUGACCCCGGGCCACGUGCUGCGGUCAUCUGUGUACUUGUCAUCCCUCCACCGGCCGGUUGGAGCAUGUUUCCCUCUCUGCAGCCCUGGGCUGAGGGGCUGGUCACAGUUGGCAGGGCGUGCUCUGGGGGGUCACAGGGUCCGAGUGGAAGGGCCCGGGGCGAAUGCAGCAUGUGGUCUGGUUCAUGAGCCCCACAAGGCCUCCGGGCCUCCUGCUCACUUCCCCUUCUUUAUUUGUCCUUAAUCCAACUGUGCAGAGAAAUGUCUUAACCGACUUCUGUAUUGUUUUGUGAAUCAACAAAGGACUGUUGCAUGUUUACCAACCAGAGCUUUAAGGAAAUAACAUAUAAUGAGGGGAGGAAAGGCCAGCUGGGGGUAGCUGGAGCUCGUCUGCACGGCUCUCAGUUUCUCCCUGUCGCAGAGAAGUCAGUUGUGCUUCGCAGCCUCGGGUGUUUUCCAGAGGUGAGUGUGCUGGUGCACAAACACGCUUGCUUGCAGAGUUUUCUCCCUCCCCCUUCCAGGACUUUCCCCGGGCCGCCCUCUGUUGCAUCCGCGUAGGCGCAGAUAGGAUGGUUGUAGGUUAACCAGGGCCGAAAGGCGGUUGUCACCUGACAUCUGCGCCAACGGCUUAUGUAAAACGAGCCGCUUCCAGCAAGCACGAGGCCCAGGCGGGAGCCGCCCGCCGCUGGCAUCUUCCAGGCGCCGGUGAGCCGAGCGCACCCCGGGCCAAGUGCGAGGCGGGGCGGGGGGCUGUGGCCGCGGGGGGCCUGGAAGGAGC